CAGCAGAUAGUUUAAUAAAAUAUUAAUUUUGGAGAUUAAAGAUGAUUAGCUUUCUCUGUUGA
rnacentral:tRNA from 1 species